rnacentral:rRNA from 1 species
UGCUUCGGAAUCUACCCUCUGGUGGGGAAUAACCAGCCGAAAGGUUGGCUAAUACCGCAUACGUCCUACGGGAGAAAGCAGGGGAUCGCAAGACCUUGCGCCGAUGGAUGAGCCGAAGUCGGAUUAGCUAGUUGGUGAGGUAACGGCUCACCAAGGCGACGAUCCGUAGCUGGUCUGAGAGGACGACCAGCCACACUGGGACUGAGACACGGCCCAGACUCCUACGGGAGGCAGCAGUGGGGAAUAUUGGACAAUGGGGGCAACCCUGAUCCAGCGACGCCGCGUGUGUGAAGAAGGCCU